rnacentral:rRNA from 1 species
AUAAUAAUUAGUCUUUUAAAUGGAGGCUGGAAUGAAUGAUUGGACGAGGUAAAUUCUGUCUCAUUAAAAUUAAAAUUUGAAUUUAAUUUUUUAGUUAAAAAGCUUAAAUAUUAUUAAAGGACGAGAAGACCCUAUAGAGCUUUAUAUUAUUAUUAUUAUUAAUUUUUAAUUUUAUUUUAUUAAUAAUAUAAUAUUUUGUUGGGGCGACAGGAAAAUUUAUUAAACUUUUUUAAAUUUAUUACAUUGAUUUAUGAAUUUUUGAUCCUAAAUUUUAGAUUAUUAGAUUAAGUUACCUUAGGGAUAACAGCGUUAUUUUUUUUAAAAGUUCAUAUUAGUAAAAAAGAUUGC